GUUUUCUCAGACAGGAUCCUAGGAUGUGUCUGGAAGCCUGCGGAGUGAAGGUAGACAUGCAGGUGUGAUGUUCUGCCUGAUAGUGCCUCUCUCCAGGCAUUAACUACAAGGCUGGGUGGGGGCUUACUGUAAGGCAUCGAGUCCCUAAGCAUUUAUACAGUCCCAAUUGUGCAUCAGUGCAGUGCUGGUUAUAACAGGGAAGAAUUUGUGGAGGGGAGGGCACAGGCUGAAAUUGGCCCAUUCCUACACAUGCUCUUGACCUAGACCUAGAGUAAGUGACAUUGACCCCAACCGUCCCCCUACCCACCUCCAGCUUGUGCCAGACAUCACUAAUCAGUCACAGCGCUUCUUUCCAGCUGAAUCCAGACUCAGAAUCCUCAUUAGAGCUCAUUGUUAGCACGUCUUCCUGAAGUGCAACCCAUUUGCCAUUCCUUCCCUGGACGAAACCCACCCCAAAUAACUGGGAAACCCUUCAAGGCAGUUUUUAAUCAACACUUCAAUUGUGGACCAAGAGUAGUGGCCUCCCUCAAUGGAAGAACCCCUAGACUUUCAAAGUGUGUUAGUCAGAUUUUGCACUGUGAUAUGCUGCAUGACAAGCACCCCCACAAAAUCUCAGGGGCUCACAACCAACACUCUUUCUUUGUCUUGCUCUUGGGUCUGUGGGUCAUCUGGGGGUAGAUCUGCUCUAGGCUUUGGGUUAGGAUCAGGAAUGUUCCAUGUGCUUCAUUCUGGAAUCAGAGGUUUCACAGAGGAUGUCUUAUGGGGAAUGGCAGAAGUACAAAAGACCCAGCCAAACCAGCAAGCACAUUUAAAACCUCUGCUCACCUCACAUUCACUUACAUUCUGUUGGCCAAAAGAAGCCAAGCAUUCCAUCACUGUACAAAGCAGAUGCACAACCCACUUCCUCUGCAGUCCCAUCUCCACACAAUGGCAGCUUACUGCAAGACCACCUUGCCUUAAAAACUUUUGCCUCUUCUUUCCAUGAGAAUGAGGUUGGAAAUUUUCCCUCCUGGGCCUCAGAAAAGAGGACUUGUUUUUAUUCACUUCAUGACACAACCUUGCAUUUACUAUUAAUACGUGAAAAAGGAAGAAAGUGCAUCUUCGGAUCUAGAAAAUUAGAGAUUUUAUUAAGGGACUCGUUGUUUUUAAAACUUUUAUCUUAGGCUCAGGUAUACAUGUGCAGGUUUGUAAUAUAGGUAAACUCGUGUCACAGAGGUUUGAUGUACAGAUUAUUUCAUCACCCAGGUACUAAGCCAAUAGUUAUUUUUUCUGAUUCUCCCCUUCCUCCCACCCUCCACCCUCAAGUAGGCUCCAGUGUCUGUUGUUCCCCUCUUUGUGCUCAUUGAUUCUCAUCAUUUUGCUCCCACUUAUAAGUGAGAACAUGCAGUAUUUGGUUUUCUGUUCCUGCGUUAGUAUUGCUAAGGAUAAUGGCCUCCAGCUCCAUCCAUGUCACGAUCUAAUUCCUUUUUAUGGUUGCAUUGUAUGAAAGAACCAUCUACAUAGAUACUGAAGUCAUCAAGAACUAUAGCAGGACAUCUGGUAGAGAGGGAGUGGUGAGAAGAGACAUGAGCCAAGAAUGAAGUCCUCACUGACCAAGAGGCUGUAGAUUACCAUGCCGAGAGCAGAGCAGCUGGUGGCUAGAAUUUAGCUAAUUGCAGCUACUGGUUAGGGACAGCGUAGAGCAGAGGUCUGCAAACUUUUUCUGGAAAAGACCAAAAAGCAAAUAUUGUAGGUUUUGCUGGUGAUAUAUGUGAUAGGCAGAAUAAUGCCUCCUCCAAAGAGGUCCACGUCCUAAUCCCCAAAACCUGUGAAUAUGUCCGUUACACGAUAAAAGGGAAUGAAGGUAGCAGAGGAAACCAUGGUUUCUGAAAUCAGGUUUUUAUUUUAUUAUUAUUAUUUUUUACAGUGCAAAGAGCUGGCUGUGAAAGGCAGCUUUGUUAGAACUAUUUAUGAAAUUCUCACUUGUGCCUGACUGCGGGGAGAUAAAAAUCAACCUCCACAAAGGCCUCCCAGCUUGAGUUGUGGCUGCUGCACUAUGGGUUUGUUUAUGUUUAGCAGGUGGGGUCCACAGGGAGCCUGUGACCAGGGCAGGGGCUGCAGCAGUUGAAGAUAUGCCUGUCAUUAUUUAAUUAAAUCAUCUCGGGCAUGUCCCCUAACUUCUCCGAGCCUCAGUUUCAUCUAUGGUAAAAGGAGGUUGAUUAUCCAUCUACUCACAGGGGUUCUGAGAGAAGCAAAGAACGGGCUGGUCCCAAGGAACUGCAUUUGAUAAGCCCCCUCCUCCCCCCACCCUACCCCUUCCCCAGGUGAUUCUCAAGCUGGUGUCCCUAACAGUAGAAGUAUCCAGUUUUUAUUAAAAUCCUGCUUUCAUUACAGCUGCAAGGGAUGGAUCUAGAACUGAUUUAUGGAGCUUAGGGAUUCUGUGAAGUCAUACUUGGCCUUCACAGCAGGAGAGAGAGAAAGACAGAGAGAGGGGGAAGCAGUCAGAGGAUGUAACCUCUCUACUCACUUGGGAUGAAAAAGCUCCUUCUCUCUCCAACAUACACAGGCACAGACGUCCUCCCAGGGGAGGUAUUGUGGCCUGACUCUCACUUUGGGAAGAUUCUUCUCCUGCUGCCAUUUAGGACCAGAGCAUGCUUUAUCUCCAAAGGCUGGGCCCCUGUUUUAUGCCUCCAGGGCAACACUCCUGGACUCACCUUGUUAACCUGAGUAUCACACCAUUCUCUGUCUUGAUGGUAGAACUAGAGAGUCCUGAGGCACAGAUGCUCAAUUGCUCAGGUAAAUCAAAAGGUCUCAUAUACUCAGCUUGGCAGAGGCUCAGAGCAUGAACCAAUUACUCCUCCCUUUAUUCAUGCAACACAUAUUUAUCCAUUAUCUACUAUGUGUCACUCAUUGGAGCUACAGAGGUGAAGGCACAGCCUGACCAGUGAGAACAAUGCUUCUCAACACUUUUGAUGCCACAGCACAUACUGAAAAGGCUCAUUUUAUAGGACAUAACUCUGAGAUGCAUGGUAGCAUUUCAGAGUUUCUGUCUCUUUUCUCUACUUUACCUUCUUCUGUUACCCUUGCUUUGUAUGGACCACAUCCCCAAAGGAGGGGGUGGCAGCUAUUAAUAUGCCAAAAUCCAUAUGGGUGGUGAACAUGUUAACACUGAAAAAUUCAAAAUAAUCGGAAUGUCCAUCUUAACGGAAGCAGAUCCUGAGACAAAGAUUCAAGUGCAGUUGUUACUGGGUUGGGGUUGUAGACAGCCCCAGGAGGGAAAGGAAAAGUGAUAUGGAGAAGGACAGGCAGCCAAUCAAGGCAGGUAAUUAAGCCAAGCACUACUGUGGGCAACUGGAGCUUGUACCCAUGGAGAGAGCUCUGAAACAGAUUGAAGCUUUGGGAGAACAGAACAUAGAAUUUU
rnacentral:lncRNA from 1 species